UAUAUAUAUAUGAUAUUUAGGGUUAUGUAUUAUUUUAGAUAUAUCUCACUUAAUAGCCUCAGCUUUCACAUCCCUCUUUGAAAGCAUAUUUGGAAUGUUGUUGUUGGCUUCUUUUCUUGCUUUCAGCUGGGGACAAGGUGCUACAAGGACUCAAGCUUGUGUCCUCAAGCUCAAGGUGUCCAGAGAAGGACUUAUGCAGGGGGACUCCCUUCUACACCUUAGAUCUGGACCAGCUGGACGCCGUCCUCAUCCCCAGCUGUGUGCAGAGUAACAGGAUGCUUUCCCAUGAUUUGCUAAUCCAGCUUGGGAGCCAGGCAAGAGGUCGGGUCCCAACAGAGCUCUUGGAUCCUGGAGAAGCCUGAUGAGAGAUGUCAUGGCAAACCCGCUGACUGAGAAGUCACCCCACAGCGAGGAAGAGGAGUAAUGGUCCUCACAUGUAAAUGAAGUGAGGCAAGGCCUGAAAAAUGCUUCACAACAAGAGAAAAAUUGAGGCCAGGAACUAGGAGUGCCCAAAAGAGCACUUGGGGGAGCAAGCGCCUGUGGAAUGAGAUUUUUGUUCUAUACAAUGACUUGACUUUUUUUUCGUUGAAAUGAGAGGACUUUCUCCCUCAUCCUCCUAUCUCCUCCCAAGGAGAACAGCGCUUACGGUGUCAUUAGAUCUCCUUCUCUACAGAGACGGGCCCUUCUUUCCUGCAGUAGCUCUGAGACCUAAAUCAGCUGUUGCUGCUGUACCAACUCUGCCAUCCUCUCAGUCCUAAGAAGGAGCCUGGCGUACAGGAGCGCGUGGUGAAGCAGCCAUGGGGACGGAUGCUUGGCAAAGCCAUUUGGGGGACAGGACUUUGCUUAUGGUAGGUGACUGGAUAAAGCUCUUGCUGCACAAACCAGAAGUGUCGUUGGAGCAGUGGUUUUACAACAUUCUUUACAUAGAAGAAUUAUAUUUGCUCUGCCUACAACAUUUGCUUAAAAAAAAAUGUUUACAGGUGAAGCAGAAAGACUGCAUCAAAUGAGUUUGGGCUGCACGUUUCAAGAAGCACUUAUGUUUUCUGGCACCGCUGAUGUGGACACAAAGAAAUGACAAGGAUUGUGUGGAGGUAAGAGAUUGUAGGAUGAAAAACGAUUAUGUCAACAAAAAGCCUGGAAGGGACGGUGUGGCCCUUCUGCCUGCACGGAAGCACAAUCUAGUGUAGUUGCACUGCACUACAAUUUUUAUUUUUAAAGAUCCUCUCUACAGAGUACCUAAGGACAGACAGUGUUGGUGUUAUCCUGCCCUUUUAACUAGAGCAACAAUUACUUCAUGCCCAACCUUCUGUAACCAACAUAGGAGUGUGAUGUCACUGUGGAGUAAAACUCAUCUGAUGUCUUCGGAAUUUAGGUAUUCAGUUGUUAAUAACAGUGUGUCUCAUCAGAAGAGCAGGUGAGUGCUUUAUCAACUCGAAUAAAUCAGUAAUAAAUAUUAAUAGGAAAUGUUAA
rnacentral:lncRNA from 1 species